GGGGAAAGCUGAAAGCCCCACGUUGGGCCAACAAAAAUUACCUUGCAACUGUGUAACCAAUCCACUUAUGCCAACUACCCACUGUGUAACCAAUCCGAUUGCGCCAACUACCUGCUGCUUGUUUUGACCUAAUAAAUACCCGAGAGAACUGGGGCUCGGGGCCUUUCGUCCUCACACACAUGGUGAGGGCAGGAGGCCCUGGCUCGAGUCAGUAAUAAAUUCCCCUAUUGCGAGUUGCAUUGUUUCGAGGAGUCUUCUUUCCCGACCGGGGACUCGGACUACGGGCAGAACAUUAGGUGGCUCGUCCGGGAUCCCUUGACCAGGGAAGAACGCUUUUUGGAACAAAGGGGAAAAAAAGAUAGGGAAUAGCACCGGUACUCAGGCAGGUUUAGAAAAAGACCAGAGUAAAGCCGAGGCCCUGCUGUGAAGCGGGAAGGUGUCUGGUGCAGAAAAAGACCAGAGUAAAGCCGAGGCCCUGCUGUGAAGCGGGAAGGUGUCUGGCGCAGGAAAAGACCAGAGUAAAGCCGAGGCCCUGCUGUGAAACGGGAAGGUGUCGGGCUCAGAAAAAGACCAGAGUAAAGCCAAGGCCAUGCUGUGAAGCGGGAAGGUGUCUGGCGCAGAAAAAGACCAGAGUAAAGCCGGGGCCCUGCUGUGAAGCGGGAAGGUGUCUGGCGCAGAAAAAGACCAGAGUAAAGCCGGGGCCCUGCUGUGAAGCGGGAAGGUGUCUGGCGUUAGGGAAAGCUUUCCAUGAGGGAACGGACUGGCCGUUCCGGCUGGCGUGAGGCCGCAGCCAGCGAGCGCGCUGGGAGGCAGCCAGCUCUGCGGGAAGGGAAGGAGACCUCCUCUCCUAAGCCCGAAUCUGGGGAACAGUGGACGCCAUACGAACAAACUUUCCUGGAAUAUUGAGUUGCCUUGGAGAACAGAUGAAGUUAGAGAUGUUUAACUCUGAGCAGCC